UAAGAAUUUAAAAGUCGAACAGACUUAUUUAUAAGAAUGCUGCUUCUUUAUAAUAUUCUUAAUUCAACAUCGAGGUCGCAAAAUAUAAUAUAGAUAUGAACUCCCCAUUAAAAUUACGCUGUUAUCCCUAAGGUAACUUAAUCUUAUUUUCCUUCUUUAAGGAUCUUAAAUUUCAUAAAUAAAUGAUAUAAAAAACUAAAGUUUAUAUUUAGCUACCACCCCAGCAAAAAAUAAAUAUUUAUAUAAUAUAAUAACCCUAAUAAUUAAAUUAAAUUAUAUAAAUUUAUAUAAAGUUCUACAGGGUCUUAUCGUCCCAAUAAACUACUAAAGCAUUUUAACUUUAAAUUUAAAUUCUAAUUUUUCAAGAAAUAAAACAUAUUUCUCAUACAUCCAUUCAUACAAGCUUCUAAUUAAGAAACUAAUUACUAUGCUACCUUUGCACAGUCAAAAUACUGCAGCCAUUUAGUUAAAACCAUAGGGCAGAAGAUACUUUUUAUAUAAUCA
rnacentral:rRNA from 1 species